GUGGGGAAUCUUGCACAAUGGGGGAAACCCUGAUGCAGCGACGCCGCGUGAGUGAUGAAGCCCUUCGGGGUGUAAAGCUCUUUCGACGGGAACGAUAAUGACGGUACCCGGAGAAGAAGCUGCGGCUAACUACGUGCCAGCAGCCGCGGUAAUACGUAGGCAGCAAGCGUUGUUCGGAAUUACUGGGCGUAAAGCGAGUGUAGGCGGUUCGAUAAGUUUGGUGUGAAAUCUCCCGGCUCAACUGGGAGGGUGCGCCGAAGACUGUCGAGCUAGAGUGUGGGAGAGGUAGGCGGAAUUCCUGGUGUAGCGGUGAAAUGCGUAGAUAUCAGGAGGAACACCUGCGGUGUAGACGGCUUACUGGACCACGACUGACGCUGCAACUCGAAAGUGUGGGGAGCAAACAGGAUUAGAAACCCCGGUAGUCC
rnacentral:rRNA from 1 species